rnacentral:rRNA from 1 species
UACGUAGGGUGCAAGCGUUAAUCGGAAUUACUGGGCGUAAAGCGUGCGCAGGCGGUUUUGUAAGUCUGACGUGAAAUCCCCGGGCUCAACCUGGGAAUGGCAUUUGUGACUGGAAGGCUAGAGUGUGUCAGAGGGGGGUAGAAUUCCACGUGUAGCAGUGAAAUGCGUAGAGAUGUGGAGGAAUACCGAUGGCGAAGGCAGCCCCCUGGGAUAACACUGACGCUCAUGCACGAAAGCGUGGGGAGCAAACAGG